rnacentral:rRNA from 1 species
CUUACACAUGCAGUCGAGCGGAGAUGAGGUGCUUGCACCUUAUCUUAGCGGCGGACGGGUGAGUAAUGCUUAGGAAUCUGCCUAUUAGUGGGGGACAACAUUCCGAAAGGAAUGCUAAUACCGCAUACGUCCUACGGGAGAAAGCAGGGGAUCUUCGGACCUUGCGCUAAUAGAUGAGCCUAAGUCGGAUUAGCUAGUUGGUUGGGUAAAGGCCUACCAAGGCGACGAUCUGUAGCGGGUCUGAGAGGAUGAUCCGCCACACUGGGACUGAGACACGGCCCAGACUCCUACGGGAGGCAGCAGUGGGGAAUAUUGGACAAUGGGGGGAACCCUGAUCCAGCCAUGCCGCGUGUGUGAAGAAGGCCUUAUGGUUGUAAAGCACUUUAAGCGAGGAGGAGGCUACUGAGACUAAUACUCUUGGAUAGUGGACGUUACUCGCAGAAUAAGCACCGGCUAACUCUGUGCCAGCAGCCGCGGUAAUACAGAGGGUGCGAGCGUUAAUCGGAUUUACUGGGCGUAAAGCGUGCGUAGGCGGCUUUUUAAGUCGGAUGUGAAAUCCCCGAGCUUAACUUGGGAAUUGCAUUCGAUACUGGGAAGCUAGAGUAUGGGAGAGGAUGGUAGAAUUCCAGGUGUAGCGGUGAAAUGCGUAGAGAUCUGGAGGAAUACCGAUGGCGAAGGCAGCCAUCUGGCCUAAUACUGACGCUGAGGUACGAAAGCAUGGGGAGCAAACAGGAUUAGAUACCCUGGUAGUCCAUGCCGUAAACGAUGUCUACUAGCCGUUGGGGCCUUUGAGGCUUUAGUGGCGCAGCUAACGCGAUAAGUAGACCGCCUGGGGAGUACGGGUCGCAAGACUAAAACUCAAUGAAUUGGACGGGGGCCCGCACAAGCGUGGAGCAUGUGG